CCUACGGGAGGCUGCAGUAGGGAAUCUUCCACAAUGGGCGAAAGCCUGAUGGAGCAACGCCGCGUGGGUGAAGAAGGUCUUCGGAUCGUAAAACCCUGUUGUUAGAGAAGAAAGUGCGGGAGAGUAACUGUUCACGUUUCGACGGUAUCUAACCAGAAAGCCACGGCUAACGACGUGCCAGCAGCCGCGGUAAUACGUAGGGGGCAAGCGUUAUCCGGAUUUAUUGGGCGUAAAGGGAACGCAGGCGGUCUUUUAAGUCUGAUGUGAAAGCCUUCGGCUUAACCGGAGUAGUGCAUUGGAAACUGGGAGACUGGAGUGCAGGAGAGGAGAGUGGAACUCCAGGUGUAGCGGUGAAAUGCGUAGAUAUAUGGAAGAACACCAGUGGCGAAGGCGGCUCUCUGGUCUGUAACUGACGCUGAGGUUCGAAAGCGUGGGUAGCAAACAGGAUUAGAUACCCUGGUAGUC
rnacentral:rRNA from 1 species